UACAGAGACUGCAAGCGUUAUUCGGAUUCACUGGGCGUAAAGGGUGCGUAGGCGGUCGCGCAAGUCGGAUGUGAAAUCUCAGGGCUCAACCCUGAAACUGCAUUCGAUACUGCGUGGCUAGAGUGCUGGAGAGGAGACUGGAAUUUACGGUGUAGCAGUGAAAUGCGUAGAUAUCGUAAGGAAGACCAGUGGCGAAGGCGAGUCUCUGGACAGCAACUGACGCUGAGGCACGAAGGCCAGGGGAGCAAACGGG
rnacentral:rRNA from 1 species